rnacentral:rRNA from 1 species
GGAAAAGGAUGUGGCGUUGCCCAGACAACUAGGAUGUUGGCUUAGAAGCAGCCAUCAUUUAAAGAGUGCGUAAUAGCUCACUAGUCGAGUGACACUGCGCCGAAAAUGUACCGGGGCUAAACAUAUUACCGAAGCUGUGGAUUGUCCUUUGGACAAUGGUAGGAGAGCGUUCUAAGGGCGUUGAAGCAUGAUCGUAAGAACAUGUGGAGCGCUUAGAAGUGAGAAUGCCGGUGUGAGUAGCGAAAGACGGGUGAGAAUCCCGUCCACCGAUUGACUAAGGUUUCCAGAGGAAGGCUCGUCCGCUCUGGGUUAGUCGGGUCCUAAGCUGAGGCCGACAGGCGUAGGCGAUGGAUAACAGGUUGAUAUUCCUGUACCACCUAUAAUCGUUUUAAUCGAU